AUGACACUGAAGGGCAUGAGCAGGUGCUUGGUGCCAGUGGCACCUCUCCUCCUGCCUUACAGCUCAAAGUGAUACAGCAGGAGUAGGAGAGAGACGGAGAGAACAGAAACGAAGCCUUCUAACUGUUCACCAAGAAGGGAAGUGAGAAUCAGUCAGAGCAUUAUGGUAAGCAAGAGGGGAGAUGAGGAAACCACAGAACGAGGGGAAACGAGAGUCUCUCUGCUGCCACUUGCUCUGCUAUGCAGCCGUGGCCAUCAAGAGGCAAACAGAGAUUUAUUUCGGACAGGAUAGCUUCUUCUGCAGCCCUUGGCUAGAUUUCAAUGUUUCUGGCGCAGACAGCAAGCUGGAAGAAGUCACCAGGACUGCAUUCCUGUGCGUCUUCAGAGGGUGGGUGGGUAGAAAGUCCCACUCAAAUCAGAAGGCAUUACUUCUGAGUAAACCUGCUUAGGAUUGCACUCUGAGUAGCUACAUUUCACCACGAAGGAAACUGAGACACUAAAACCUGGGGUGCUUGCCAAUACGUUUCUAUACCGAAAUUAAUCAUGCUUUCCCACCAAUUCAGCUGCGGGGAGCAAUGUCUAAAAAAAUAGAUGAAGUGUUUCAUAUUGUCUCCAUUUUAGAGAUGGGGCUGAAAGCAAGUGGCUUGCUGAGUCACACUCCUUAGCUAUGGUGGGCUUGGGUUUCCAGGUCAAAGUCUCACAAUCUUACCUUUGGGUCAGCUAUGGAUGCUCUAAAGCAUUCUUUUUUGGCCGAGCCAGAAGUUGAACUAGGGCAUUUCUAUUAUUGUUUUAUUAUCUAUUAAAUUUAUCAGUUGCUUUUCUUGCUGCGGGUAACACAAAGUGCCUUUGCAAAUAAAUGCAAUGUCUGUACACUAAGACCAGUCUCACACCAGUUUAAUAGUCAUGGCUCACAAUCACAUAACGUAAGUAUAAUCUCUCAGAAGGGGCAAGGGAUUUCUUACAAAGUAGCAGAAUUCUCAAGCCCCUUUCCUAAGAGCAUUUGGGCAAAGACGUGGUGAUUAAAUUGGUUUCCAACUAGUUUAGAUUUGCAGCCUAGAAGCUCCCUUGUGAACAAUUACUGUCGGAAAGGGCUGUAGCUCAGAGGUAGAGAGCUUGCUUUGUAUUCAGAAGGACCGAACUUUAACUCUUGGCAUCUCCAGGUGUGGCUGGAAAAAACCUCUGUCUGAGGCUCUGGAGAGGGCCUGCAAGUUAGUGUAGAUGAUGUUGAGUUGGAUGGAUCUAUGCUCAGACUUGGUAGAAGACUGCUUUUUUUUUGCUAAAGCAUCCAUGACAGAUGGCCAUCUAACCUGUUUAAAAACCUCCAGGGAAGGAGAGUCUACUACCUCUUGUGGGAGUCUGUUCCACAGCUGAACAGCUCUUACUGUCAGAAAGUUGUUCCUGAUGUUCUUGCAACUUGAAGCCAUUGGUUCGAGUUCUACCCUCCAGAGCAGGAGAAAACAAGCAUGCUCCCUCCUCUAUGUGACCACCCUUGAGAUAUUUGAAGAUGGCUAUCAUAUCUUUUCAGUCUCCUCUUUUCCAGGCUAAACAUACCCAGCUCCUUCAAGCAUUCCUCAUAAGGCUUAGUUUUCAGACCCAUGAUCAUGUUGGUUGCCCUCCUCUGCACACAUUCUAACUUGUCAACAUCCUUCUUAAAUUGUGGUGCCCAGAACCGGACACAGUAUUCCAAGUGUGGUCUGACCAAGGCAGAAUAGAAUGGUACUAUUAAUUCCCUUGAUCUGGACACUAUACUUCUGUUGAUGCAGCCUAGAAUAGCAUAGCUUUUUUGGUUGCUGCAUCACAUGGUUGACCUAUGUUAAGCUUGUGGUCCACCAAAAUGAAACAAUUAGCUACUCGGAGCUAACAGCCACAGGUCAAACAUGUGCAUCUUGUAGUCAUGAGAAUCUUGUUGAUAUAUUAUUUUCUUGUUGAUACUAUAUUUGGAAGGGACCAUAGUUCAGUGGUAGAGUGAAAGAGAGUUCUGGACUCAACCAGUGGCAGACAUUGGGGUCUCAAAUUUUAGCGGCAUCCUGUGUGACACCCAAAUUUGGUGGCCUCUCGCCUUCUAAGGCUCUGCGCCCAGUGCAACCAAACCAGUUGCGCUUCCCUAAAUUCACCUCUGGACUCAACCCCUGGCAUUGCUAGAUAGGGCUGGGAAGAGUCUCUGAACCCCUGGAAAACCACUGCCAGUCAAUGUCAAUAAUACUAGCCUCAAGAGACUAAUGGUCUGACUCAAUAUAAGGCAGUUUUCUAUGUUCUGAUGUAAUCCAAAGCUUAAAGAUGAGCUUAUACCUCUUCUCUCACCUGAGACAUUUUCUAGCCAACAGCAUAGCCACGUGCACUCUAAUGUAUUCUUCAACUUGUGUUCAGGUAAGAACAGCCAAAUUUGCAUGAAUAAACUUACCUUGGGAAAGGAAAUCAGAUUCGCGUUUCUGAAAUAAUUCACUUAGCAAGACUAAGGUCAACAGAAUUUUGCCCGUCUAGGACAUCCCCAUUGGCUCUGACCUCUGACCUGGAAGCAUAAUUUUUCUUGGCUCCCCAUGGGCAGCCUAUUGGCCACACACAUAGCUCAUAAUUUGAGAACCAGAGACCUCUGUUUGCUCUUUUGCAAACAAUGCAUUACUCCCUCCAUCACAAGUCUAUAGGAGUUUGAAAGAUACCCUCUCAUCUAUUUAUGACAUCAGACACCUGACAAUGAUUAGCUUCUGUCAUCAGAAGCUCUUGGCUUCAAUGAAAGGUUGCCAAGAAAAGAGAUGGAUCUUGGGCGUUACAAACUCACAAAUACAAACCUUAUAGGAUCACCCACACCUAUAUAUGCAGUAGUUGGAGAGUCUUUCCUUGAGAAUCCUUAAAGUAUCAGAAACUGACUCCACAUCAACUCAGAGCAGGGCUUUCAAUGUAGCUACCCCUUGAUUUGUGGAACAGUAUCCCUGUUGAGAUAUGAUAGGUCACCACUAUUUGUGGGUUCCAGAAUAAUUGUAGACAUUUUAAUUUGUUUUGAUAAGCUUUUCCAGCAGCAUGACAAUGAUUUUAGUCUCUGCCUUGGGUGUUUCUUUGUAUUGCUUUUAAAUCUUUUCUUUUUUUGUUUUUUUGUUCCUUUAUUGACCGGCUGAAAAUCAUGCUUUCCCAAAAGCUCGGACUUUUUGCUACAAGGAAUGUGACAGGAAAAGACACUGGAAAGUGUAGGAUAACACUUGCUUUGAUGCAAACAAAUCAGGAGAAAUAUUCAGUAAACUGGUGAUCUGGACGUGACCUUAGAGAACAGCAUAUUAUUGUUUGAGGCAAUCAAUACAUCAAACAGCUUUCACAUUUCUUUUCCAGAGUACUAACCAGGCAUUCAUGGGGAGACUCUAGGACAUUAGUGUGGCUUUAGUAUUUAAAGAAUAUGCCUUCCUCCAAAGGCUACUGGGAGCUGCAGUUUAUGCCUCACAGAGCUACAAUUGCCAGCUUUAAAUGUAUGGUGUAUGUGAAGUCUAAGAUGGCGUAAUUGCUGUGUAGAAGAGGGGUUUUCAGCAGGUGAAAUUCCUUAUUCUGUACACCUAUCAAAGGUGCAGGAAAGUCUUGUCUUCUUUUCCACCUGGCCACCCUAAAUUAUUAGGGAAGCAAGGGUUUAUUAUUAAUGGUGUUUCUGUCCUUGAUAACAAAAUUUCCCCAAUUUGUGAGAAUCAAUGCUACUUUCUGGAUCAGAAAGUAUUUCUGGAGGGGCACAAGCUGCCGUUCUUGUCACCAGAAAAGAGUUAAGAAAUCAGAAGGCUCUGCACCCUUCUUAAGUUACACCCGGUGGAGAAAUACCAUCAAGCUGCGUCAGGUCCCAGUCAGGAAUAAAAAUAAACUCACUUGGCACACAGUAUCCUUUCAAGAUCUAUCAAAAUCCAUAUGGGAUCAAGAGUGUUCUUUGUACACCUGUACAGUGUUUGUACAUGGACACAGCCAGAGAAUGCGGAGCCCAUUUUGGAAUGUGCAAACUUUUGCCAUAUUGCCAGACCGAAUAAUGCUUUUGUGGCAAACUUUUUCAGGUGCUGGCUUUGCUCCGGUUCCAUAACAUCUAGCUUGCAUUUGUCAGAUGAGAAUGGAUACAGAUUUGCUUCUGUAUUAUUGAAAUAAAUAGUCAUUGUAGUACAGAUUCAGAAAUUUUUAAAUGAAGACUUAUGAUGAUUAUUAAUAAUAAUUAUAUUAAGUUCAGAAACUGAAGUUCUACCAAUAUGUAUCUGUCAAUAUAUUGGGAUAUAAUCAAUUACAAAUUAAUUAGAUAGCAACAACUGCACAGAUAGUGAAAAAAAAAUUAUUAAAGGAUACUGUGUUCUUACAAGCUUGUCAUGACUUCGUUAAUAAUAAGAGUAUUAAUGGUGAACAAGAUUUUCUGAAAGACAGUAUGUCCGCCAUAUCUGAUCAAUCUGUCUGCAAUGUUGAGUUAUAGGGGAAUAUUUGCUGUGUUCUACAGCACUGGAUGGGUGAAAGUCAUUUGGGAUCUACUGGUGAUUUGCCAUAGUUGGCAAGAGUUUGUGACUCCCAAUUGGUGGUUCUUCUUCUUUUAAAUGAGGUUGAUGAAAUGAAGAAAUUUGGAAGGGUAGGGAUGGCACCAGGAAUAUAAUUUUGUGUUGAAGAACUGUGAGCAAUGGUGGCUGAUGCUUGUUGGGACAGGUGGGGUCAAAAACAGAGAACCUAACAGCAGGUUAACAAUGAAAAGCGGAGACAAAUAAUUCUAGUCUUACCCUCCUUCUGGUUGAGCCCUGUAAGGCAAAAUUGAGACUAAAAGGGAGGAAGCUGAUAGGAAGUUCUGUCCCUGGACCUGAGGGAAUGGGCAGACCCAAUGUGUGCUCUUGUUCUACUGACCUUUGCUCUGUUGUCCUCCUUCUUCCACAGCGUGAGUGUAUCUCUGUACAUGUUGGGCAAGCUGGAGUUCAAAUUGGCAAUGCAUGCUGGGAGCUUUUCUGCUUAGAACAUGGCAUCCACCCAGAUGGAACUUUCCAGGACAAAGCCAACAAAUUUAAUGACGACGAUUCUUUUACCACAUUCUUCAGCGAAACUCGCACAGGAAAACACGUGCCGCGGGCUGUCAUGGUGGACCUAGAACCCACUGUAGUAGGUCAGUGGAAUAACUAGCAGUAGCAUAUGCAAAUGAGACCACUUAAUGUAUAACUGUGCUGGGGACCAACGUAGAGUGACUUGAUGUGCGUACAAACAGUGUUCCUUCAUCUUUAACAGUUGAACUGAAGAAACUUGGUGCCAUGCAAGCAUUGGGGGGGGGGGGCGAGAGUUAUAUCUUUCAGAAGUCCUCCUCACGCAAUUAUAAAGGCACAUUAUAAAGAUCUAUUGUGCUAUCCAGAGGUCUUCUGUUCUUCAGCAGAAGCCUGCUAUGAGGCUGUUGCAUAUACAGUGGUGCCCCGCAAGACGAAUGCCUCGGAAGACGAAAAACUCGCAAGACGAAAGGGUUUUGCGGUUUUUGAGGUGCUUCGUAAGACGAAUUUCCCUAUGGGCUUGCUUCGCAAGACGAAACGUCUUGCGAGUUUGUUUCCUUUUGAAGCGGGAACUGGGCUGGCAGGGAGCGAGCGAGGGAGCGACCUACCUUUUCCAGAGGGAUCCUCUUCUGGAGAGGGCACAGAGGAGGCAGGUGGGCUGGGAUCCAGCGGAUCUGGCUGGGUCUCUGCGCCGCCGCCGCCUCUGCCUCUCUCUCUCUCUCCCCCUCCCAACGUGGCUGCUCCAUUUUGCCCUAACUGCGCGAAGGCAGGAGGAGGCGGGACAAAGGAGGAGGAGGAGGCAUCCACUGCGCUUGGGCCGCCGCGAAGGCGCCUUUGCGGGGGUGGGAAGAAGCCGGGAGCAGCUGCCGAGACUGUGGGGAGCCCGGCGGCGUGGCGCAAGGUAACGGGGGGAGCAAGGGAGAGUCCGCGCCGGGCGCUUCGUGCGUCCGCCCUCGGUUCCUGGGCUCGAACUUCCUUUGGCACCUCGUGGAGAGAGAGGGAGAGGAGCGGGCUGGGGCUUUGAUGUGGGACACGGUUUGGCGGAGCGAAGACGCGGCAAGGCUUGGCGACAGAGGAAGGGGGGCUGUUUUCGUGGGGAGGUGGGAGGGGGUGUCUUUGCCUCUUCCCGGCAACAGAUCCUCCAGGCUGUUGAAAAUCCUCCUGCUGGGGAGCGACCCGCUUUGUGCUUUGCCCGCUAUCCCAUUAUAAUACAGUACCAGGGUGCAUCCGUGCUUCGCAAGACGAAAAAAUCCGCAAGACGAAGAAACUCGCAGAACGGAUUAAUUUCGUCUUGCGAGGCACCACUGUACUGGGUUCAUUCAUAUUCCCUUAUGGGUGUCAGCUGCAUCCCAUUGCUGACAGAGAGGGGGAGAGCGUGGAGAGACAGGAGGAGGUAAUUAGGCAGGAAUGUGGAAAGAGGGAGGAGCAGCCUAGUUGCAGUAAAAGCCUGAGCUCCGAGAACAAGGAGAAGGAAGGGGGGAGUUCAAGGGAGAAGACACAGACUGACAGUUUAAGCUCGGACUCAGAGGGAGGGCCACCGGAAAUAGCCCAUUCCAUGAUGCGCAGGCGAGCAAGAAUUAACGAGAGGUAUGAACAGGAAAGGAAGCAAAAGUGGGGCUUUAAAUAGGGGAAGAGGAAGGGGCGGAACUCAGACUUGGCAACGGCUAAUUUGGAAGCAGACCCUGAGUGACUGAGCUCCAGAGUGAUUUGUAUGUUUUGAGCAAUAAACCUGAGUUAAUUGCUGCUGGAGUUGUCUCGCUAUUGUGGGAGAGACCCAACCAUUACAAUGGGUCAUUAGUCAUUAGUCAACCUUGCACAAGGUUGGGCACAAAGAGCUUAUCUUGCUUGUUGCAGAGUGUAUAAAACAUUGGUGCACCAAGAUCUAUUUUCAAGGAUUUGUGAUUUCCCUCCCAUAAAUGUUGAAAGCUGCAUGUCCUUGGUUCAGGUAGCAUAUCUCUCUUAGUGUGUGUGUUUGUGUAUGAUAACAUUUCUUCGUGAACAUUUCUUGCUAUGUGUUCUGAGAAAAACACAACUAUUUGCCACAAAGGAAGAGCAGCUCAUGCCAUCUUCUGUUUGCUCCCACAUGCAUGCACACCCACACACCCACACCCCAAGCAACAGCUGCAUACCACAUAGUUAUCAGAAGAAGCAUCAGCUCAGGAGCUUCUUUUGGCAUAGCAAUGGCUGUCUUGUGCUGCACCAUCAACAUUAAUCUUGCUGUUCCCUGGCCUAGUCUGAACCAGCAGGGAUUACCUUGGGUGUUGACGCAGCCCCUGUUUGGCUUGUAAGCAUCAUGCACAAGUAUGCGUCUGUGGAAAAAUGCUGGAUAUGCUUGUUUCUGUUUAGUUUGUUUAGUUCCGCUUAGUGCUUUGAAAAAGAUCCAUGCCCUCUGUUGUACAUCACAGCCAGGGUUCAAGGCCUUGCACAAUAAUAACCGUGUUUAAUUACUGUUUAACAGUAGCUGCUUGGUGACAUGAUCUGAAUGCAGUAGGUGGGGCUGGGGAGACAAUCAUUUUGAAUAUUGAUGGACUGGGCUUGGAUCAGGUAAAUUCAUUUUAAUUUUGCUAGUUAACUGCACAUUCUUUACUGACGGAAACGUCUGCAGGGCGGACUUUGGUAAUUUGGUCCCCUGAGCAAGGACAAAAUUUGACACCACCCACGCUAAAUAUUUCAAUUUUCCCCACAAUAAUUGCUUUUGGUACAGUUGUUUUUUUAUGGCUCUUCAGUAGGUACCGAUAUAAAUAUAGGUAUCAACAUCACUAUUAAUGUACGCCCCCCUUGCCUUGGCACCCAAUGUGGAAACCUGCCCAUACCACCCUAAAUCUGGCGCUGACCUGCAACCAAGAAGAGCCUUCCAUUUCCCAGGCUAAUUUACCUGAUCCAUCCUCUGUCUCUACAUAUUACGCACAGUUCUCUCUCUCUCUCUCCUUCCACUUUUGGGAGUUGUUACCAAGCAGCUACUGCUAAACAGGCCUGCAACGUGGGAACAGCACAAGGCCUUGAACCCCAGAAGUCCCACUCUGACAUCAACAGGAGCCACCAAUCCUUUCUCAAAGCACACAAAACGUAAAACACACACCCAGCAUUCCUCCAUAGACCCGACACUCUGUUCAGAAUCGCAGAGAAAGCCAGAAUAAUUUAAUAAUUUUAAAGUUCAUCUGGUUUACAACAAAGACGGCAUCCUAUAUAAGGUAUUCAGUUGGCACAUAUCAGCAUUAAAGAAACAUGUCCACAACAAACUCUGACCACACUCUGCUUACUUUCCUUAACAGAUGAAGUGCGGGCUGGAGCUUACCGCCAGCUUUUCCACCCAGAGCAGCUGAUCGCUGGCAAGGAAGACGCUGCCAAUAACUAUGCCCGUGGCCACUACACCAUUGGCAAGGAGAGCAUCGACAUGGUACUAGAUCGCAUUCGCAAGCUGGUAGGUAGAAGGUUGCCAAUGGAAAGUGAUAUGCGGUUUGGGAGCAGGAUGAGGCAGAAAUCUGGAGGGCUAUAAUUUUUUAUUUCAUUCUCAGAAGUUAGGUCCAUAGUGGACAGAGGCUGGAUGUUUCAUUAUUCAGAGAUCAGUGGUUUUCCAAAAUUAGGAAAUAUUUCCUCAAUAACUGUGAGGAAAUAUUUUCCACACCACCUUCUUGGCCAAGGAACCUCUGCAUGCUUGCCACAUACCUCCUGUGCUGUAGGAAAUCCUGGGGCAUAUUCUAAGGAACCUAUGAAGACACUGGCCAACCCUGUUGGACCUAUAGCAGAGAAAUGAAUGAAACUUACUUCCUCCUCUACUUAGCUUGUUUGGUGGGCUUCUUGUUGGGGGUGGGGAAAGCUGAUUUAUUUAAUUUAAAAUACUUAGAAAUGUCUUCAUAUUUAAAAAUCUCAAAGCAUUAUAUAAAAGGAUGAAAAUCUCACAGCACAUAAUAAAAUAAUAUAAAACCAGCAUAAAAUACAAUUCCACAGCUUCACAGUGAUGAAUAUCAAGAAUCUAAACACUUGAGCAAAGUGUAUAUGCUGAAAACAUAAAAUGUUGCUGUAUACCAGAGGUCAGCAAACUUUUUCAGCAGGGGGCCGGUCCACUGUCCCUCAGACCUUGUGGGGGGCCAGACUAUGUUUUUUUUUGGGGGGGGGAAUGCAUUCCUAUGCCCCACAAAUAACCCCGAGAUACAUUUUAAAUAAAAGGACACAUUCUACUCAUGUAAAAACAGGCUGGUUGCUGGACCGUCCGCGGGCCAGAUUUAGAAGGCGAUUGGGCCAGAUCCGGCCCCCGGGCCUUAGUUUGCCUACCCAUGCUGUAUAGCAUAUGUCCAUGUUCCAUGCGGCAGGUGCCAUCACACUAAAAGCCCUACUCAGGAUAGCCACAAAAUGGAUUUGAUAUACAGAUGAUUGGAUAUCCGUGCCCCAGGAGAUUAUACCAUUGUCCAGGCUGUGAAUCAAUCAAUCAAUCAAUCAAUCAAUCAAUCAAUCAAUUAAAUUUCUAUACUUCCCAUCAUCUGAGGAUCAGUGUGGUGGCACUUCAUCCCUGCCAAUCCCUGCCUCACAACACCACUGGUUAACCCCUAAUUAUUAUUCAUUAUGGUUCCCUUUCCAGACUGACGCCUGUUCUGGGCUACAAGGAUUCCUGAUUUUCCACAGCUUCGGAGGAGGCACAGGUUCUGGCUUUACCUCCCUGCUGAUGGAGCGCCUGUCUGUGGACUAUGGCAAGAAGUCCAAACUGGAGUUUGCCAUCUACCCAGCCCCCCAGGUUUCCACUGCGGUGGUGGAGCCCUACAAUUCUAUCCUGACCACCCACACCACCUUGGAGCAUUCCGACUGCGCCUUCAUGGUGGACAACGAGGCCAUCUACGACAUCUGCCGCCGCAAUCUGGACAUUGAGCGCCCCACGUACACCAACCUGAACCGCCUCAUCAGCCAGAUUGUCUCCUCCAUCACCGCUUCCCUGCGUUUCGACGGCGCCCUCAACGUGGACUUGACUGAGUUCCAGACCAACCUGGUGCCUUACCCUCGCAUCCACUUCCCCUUGGUGACCUAUGCGCCCAUCAUCUCCUCCGAGAGGGCUUACCACGAGCAGCUCUCCGUGGCCGAAAUCACCAGCUCCUGCUUUGAACCCAACAACCAGAUGGUGAAAUGCGACCCCCGCCAUGGGAAGUACAUGGCCUGCUGCAUGCUCUACCGAGGUGAUGUGGUGCCCAAAGACGUCAACGUAGCCAUUGCUGCCAUCAAGACCAAGAGGACAAUCCAGUUUGUGGACUGGUGCCCAACUGGCUUCAAGGUGAGAAGGGACAAGCAGGUGCUCUCUUUUGUAGGACUAAAACCUUAACACCCACAAUGAUGAUGAUAAUAAUAAUAAUAAUAAUAAUUGUUAAGUUGUGGGUGAACAUAUCAGACGACACAGAGAUUCUUUAAACAGCUCUUGUUUAUUCACAGGCUAGAACAGAACUGAACUGAAGGGUUCAGCCAGCCUGCUUAUAUAGAGAUCCACUAGAACACAACAGUAACCAUUUUCCGUAACUAUCCAAUCACUGAACGUAACUUUCAAUCUCUUAUUUGCAUAUGUGGACCUGAGUGAAAACUAUCUACUGUAUCCCCCUGCUGGCCCAGGGUGAGAACUUCAGUACAUAACACCAAUAAUAAUAAUAAUAAUAAUAAUAAUAAUAAUAAUAAUAAUAAUAAUAAUAAUGGUGACAAAAGUAUUGUUUGUAUGUGCUGCAGUCAUACCAAGAGUCAUUUUUUGAGUGGACCCUUGUGGCUGGGAACUGCAUUUGGAGGACUAAUUUUGCCCCUCUCCACCUCUCUGCUCAGUCCUCUAAGGGCAAUUUUGAGAUCAAGGAGGAGGAAGCUGACAGGCGCAGCCACCCCCACCCCACUCCAGGCUGAUUUCAAGUUGGAAUGCUGGCAGAUGGGUUAGAGGUCCAUUCACCUGAACUGUCCAGCCUCCCCCAUCCCGCUCUUCUUGGAAGAGUUUGCGGGGGGAGCACGUGCAAGCCUAGCAUGGAGAAGGGCCAUAUCUCUAUGGCAGAGCAUCUAGUAUGCACACACAAGGUCCAUGAUUCAAUUCCAAGCAUGUCCAGGUUAGGCUGGGAAAUGCUGCCAGCCAGUGUACGCAAUAGUAGAUGGACCAAUAGCCUCACUCCGUCUCCGGCAGUUUCCUAUGUCAUUAUUAGUAUAGUGGUACCUCGGGUUAAGAACUUAAUUUGUUCUGGAGGUCCGUUCUUAACCUGAAACUAUUUUUAACCUGAAGCACCACUUUAGCUAAUGGGGCCUCCCGCUGUUGCUGCGCGAUUUCUGUUCUCAUCCUGAAGCAAAGUUCUUAACCCGAGGUACUAUUUCUGGGUUAGCGGAGUCUGUAACCUGAAGCGCCUGUAACCUGAAGCAUCUGUAACCCGAGGUACCACUGUAUGACUAUUUAAAAAACUUUAUACCAUCAAACCUUGGUUGUCAAACACCCUGGAACUUGUAUGUAUUUGGCUUGCAAACGCCGCAAACCUGAAAGUGAGUGUUCCGGUUUGCGAAUGUUCUUUUGGAACCUGAAUGUCCGAUGGGGCUUCCUGCAGCCAAUCAGAGGUUUCCGAACAUUUUGGCAGUCAAACGGACUUUCGGAACGGAUUCUGUUUCGACUUUCCAAGGUAUGACUGUACUGCUUUCAUCAAUAGAUCUCGGAGCAGUUCACAACAUAAAAUGACAAUAUAAAACCUCAAAAUACAUAGUAAAAAAUAAGAACCACAACAAACCAACCCCCCUCCCACUCAUACGUACAGUGGUACCUUGGGUUGAGAACUUAAUUCGUUCUGGAGGUCCGUUCUUAACCUGAAACUGUUCUUAACCUGAAGCACCACUUUAGCUAAUGGGGCCUCCCGCUGCCGCCGCACAAUUUCUGUUCUCAUCCGAAAGCAAAAUUCUUAACCCAAGGUAUUAUUUCUGGGUUAGCAGAGUCUGUAACCUGAAGCGUCUGUAACCUGAAGCGUCUGUAACCUGAGGUACUACUGUAUAUGCAGUCCUCAUCAGCUAAUUUUUUUUAGGGGGUUCAUGGCUGAUUUUAAAUGCAAUGCACUUCUGCAUAUCCCAGGCAUAGUGAAACCUUAGUUCUAUUUGUAGCUGCUCCCACUCUGCUUCCCCCGGAAGCUUGAGCUUGCUAUUUGAGGGAAUGGUGAGAAUGGGCCAGUAUCAGCUGAGGCGUUCUGCUGCCCAUGCUGAAUUUCUGUCUGUACAGUUGCCUUUUCUUCCCUCCUCUUGGUUUCCAGGUUGGCAUCAAUUACCAGCCGCCGACCAUCGUUCCCGGGGGCGACCUUGCUCAAGUGCAGCGUGCCGUCUGCAUGCUCAGCAACACCACCGCCAUCGCUGAGGCCUGGGCGAGGCUGGACCACAAGUUUGAUCUGAUGUACGCCAAGCGAGCUUUUGUGCACUGGUAUGUUGGUGAGGGCAUGGAGGAAGGAGAGUUUGCGGAGGCCCGGGAAGAUUUAGCUGCGCUGGAGAAAGAUUACGAGGAAGUUGGGACAGACUCCUUUGAAGAAGAAAAUGACGGGGAAGAGUAUUAAAAAUGGUGCUCCUGGCAGCUCUUCAUUGCACUGGGGAUACAGCUCACCAAACGCUUUGCUGCACAGCAGCUUCUGAUCAUUUCAUGGGGGGUGGAUGGAGGAAUGGACAGUGGAAGGGUUUGGUGGAUUGGACCCUGUGCCUACUCCUGCAGUAUAUGUAAAAAAUAGACCAUCCAUCUGCAAAAAAACAAUUUCCAGUGACUUCCUUUCUUUAUUAUGCCUUAUAUUGUGAGGGGGGAGGAAAUAUUCUGCUCCUUUCUUAAAGCAGUCCAAGAAAAAAAUACAAGUACAGUGGUACCUUGGGUUAAGAACUUAAUUUGUUCCAGAGGUCCGUUCUGAACCUGAAACUGUUCUUAACCUGAAGCACCACUUUAGCUAAUGGAGCCUCCUGCUGCUGCUGCGCCACUGGAGCACGAUUUCUGUUCUCAUCCUGAAGCAAAGUUCUUAACCCAAGGUAAUAUUUCUGGGUUAGCGGAGUCUGUAACCUGAAGCGUAUGUAACUUGAGGUACCACUAUACCAGUUAGUACCAGUUAGUACCAGUAUGGCAUGGGUGACACAGGACUCAGGGGCUGUUGCAACAUCCCUGGUUAGGACUUAUGCCUCAACUGUCCUACAUUCCAGAUUCAUAGCCAGAAAUUCUGAAGUGAGGAGGCCGAAGGCAGUAGGGAAUCAUUGCAACAGAUGAAACACAAGUAGUCUAAAAGAUCUGGAAUUCAUUAGUCUGCGUUAUUUCUUUGUAAGCAAUUGGGUAAAAUAUUGGCUACGUACCUGCUUAUAAGUCAACGGAAAAGGCUACAAAGUUGAAUUUAAAAAGGAAGAAAGAACAUUCAACAUUCUGGAAGGGGGCAUGGAAUAUCUCCAAGUGGGCUAGGCUCCUAUAGUCCUGCCUCCUCCUCCUUUUUUACCUUGCCUUAUAGCAUAGCUGUCAACGUUUCCCUUUUUUAAAGGGAAAUUCCCUUAUUCCAAAUUGCGAGGAUUCCUCACAAGAAAAGGGAAAAGUUGACAGCUAUGCCUUAUAGCUACAGCCGUAGACAGCCUGAUGUUCUGAUACUUGUUCCAGGUAAAACAUUUUCCCCAUUUUAUCUUCUGGAGAUAUGUCAGGGAUGCCUUUAAAAAGUUUUAUUAUUGUGCACUCGAUUGUGCUAGACUUCUGCGCAUUUCAGCCCCCUCCUUGUUCCAGGUGACCUGUUUAUUGAGAAUUCUUCCUGAUUUGUUUGCACCCACUUUGCAAGGAAGUUGGAAGACCUUGACCAUUUAUUGAGCAUUCAUUCUGAUUUGUUUGUGGGUGGUCUCAUGACAUUGCAUCAACAAAGUGUUUCUCCACCUUUAAGUGCAUUUCCCCAUCCUUUUUACCAAAAAUAAAAAUAAAAAUCCAUUUUUGGGGGAGAAACAAGUACUGUUGAAUGUACAUAAGUAAAAUCUUCCAUCAUUUCAAUGCCUUGGUACAUAAAAAGUGAUGUUGUUGUUACCAUCAAGUAAUGUUGUUAAUCAUAAAAUAUAUAUCGUAAGAAUAUUUAAAUAUAUAUAAUGUUACAC